AUUCACUCUUCUGCGUAACCACACGAGCAAUUGGACGGUGGUCUUCGUUCUUCCUUUAAAGCGGAUUACGUUAUAAUUACAGGAUAAUUUAGGGACAAGAAGGCAGGAAUGCCCUGUACUGCUGCUCCUUAUUAAGAAGUGUUGUGGCUGCCUGUGAGGAGAAAAGAAUGGUUCCUUGGAACAAAGAAGUGGUCUGGACAAAUUCUUCCCUUGGCAUCCAGACACCAUUUCAAGGUUCCAGGAGAGGCCCUGGGAUAAUAGUGUGGGCAAUUUCUAUGUAUGCUUCUUAUUUGAUGUUUUCAUAAUGGUAAUAAAGUGUAAGGUUAAAAUAUAAAAUAUUUAAUUAAUAACAGUAAAUGGUAAAAUGUGUAUUUUUGUAUUUAUUAAAGUGUACGUGUAUCUGGAUAGAUGAUGGAACUUGGUAAGCUCACCUGUCAAUAAAUAAGGGUUUAAUCCUUAAACAGCUGAGACUAUUUAAGGCUGCCAUUCCUCGUCAGAGAGGACAGAUCUUUGUUCCUAUUGGAAUGCUUGACAUGCCAUCAAUUGUCCAUCAAGUGGUGCUAAAUGUGGACAAAUAAAGACCUGCUGUUUCCACCAUUUUCUGCAUGUAAUUUUUAUCAAUGACAUCCGUAUAAAUGCAGACAGUGGAAGAACCACAGUGCUGAUAUUCUUGGACCUUAGUGCAGCAUUCAACACUGUUGAUCACUCCAUUUUAUUAGAGCACCUGGAAAACCGGGUCAGCCUUUCUGGAACAGCACUUGAUUGGUUUAAAUCCCACUUGAACGACAGGGACUUUCUUGUGUCAGUAGGUAACUUUACAUCAGAGACCACAAAUAUCACAUGUGGCGUUCCCCAAGGGUCCAUCUUAGGGCCCCUCCAAUUCAAUAUCUACAUGCUCCCUCUAA